rnacentral:rRNA from 1 species
UACGUAGGGGGCAAGCGUUGUCCGGAGUUACUGGGCGUAAAGCGCACGCAGGCGGUCUCUUAAGUUUGGAGUGACAGUUGGUGGCUUAACUGCCAAAGUGCUUCGAAAACUGACAGACUUGAGGGCUUCAGAGGGACACGGAAUUCCGGGUGGAGUGGUGAAAUGCGUAGAGAUCCGGAGGAACACCAGUGGCGAAGGCGGCUUCCUGGUCUGCAACUGACGCUGUGGCGCGAAAGCUAGGGGAGCAAACGGG